rnacentral:rRNA from 1 species
UACGAAGGGGGCUAGCGUUGCUCGGAAUCACUGGGCGUAAAGCGCACGUAGGCGGAUUGUUAAGUCAGGGGUGAAAUCCUGGAGCUCAACUCCAGAACUGCCUUUGAUACUGGCGAUCUCGAGUCCGGGAGAGGUGAGUGGAACUGCGAGUGUAGAGGUGAAAUUCGUAGAUAUUCGCAAGAACACCAGUGGCGAAGGCGGCUCACUGGCCCGGUACUGACGCUGAGGUGCGAAAGCGUGGGUAGCAAACAGG